UACGGAAGGGGCAAGCGUUGUUCGGAAUCAUUGGGCGUAAAGGGCGCGUAGGCUGUUUUGUGUGUCUGCUGUAAAAGCACACGGCUCAACCGUGUAAAGUCGGUAGAAACUGCAAAACUUGAGGCUGGGAGAGGCUGGUGGAAUUCCCUGUGUAGCGGUGAAAUGCGUAGAUAUAGGGGAGAACACUCGUGGCGAAGGCGGCCAGCUGGACCAGUCCUGACGCUGAGGCGCGACAGCGUGGGGAGCAAACAGGAUUAGAUACCCUGGUAGUCCACGCCGUAAACGAUGGGCACUAGGUGUUGGCGGUACUGAUUCCGUCUGCGCCGGCGUUAACGCAGUAAGUGCCCCGCCUGGGGAGUACGGUCGCAAGGCUGAA
rnacentral:rRNA from 1 species